rnacentral:rRNA from 1 species
GACGAACGCUGGCGGCGGGCUUAACACAUGCAAGUCGAACGGAAAGGCCCUGCUUUUGUGGGGUGCUCGAGUGGCGAACGGGUGAGUAACAAGUGGGUAACCGGCCCUUGACUUUGGGAUAACUUCAUGAAACUAGGGGUAAGACCUGAUAGGAGCUCCUGCGGAAUGGUGUGGGUUGGAAAGUUGCGGCGGGUGGGGAGGGACUCGCGGCUUAUAGACUUGUUGAUGGGGGAGUGGUUUACCAAGGCUGUGACGGGUAGCCGGACGGAGGGGGUGGCCGGCCACACUGGGACUGGGACACGGCCCAGAAUCGUAGGCGACGCAGAAGUGGGGAAUAUUGCCCAAUGGGCGGAAGCCAGACGAAGCAACGCAGCGUGCGGGAUGACGGUAUUCGGGUUGCAAACCGCUUUAGAAUGUGACGAAGCGUGAGUGACGGUAAUGGGUAAGGAAGCACCGGCUAACUCCGUG